rnacentral:rRNA from 1 species
CAGCAGCCGCGGUAAUACGUAGGGUGCAAGCGUUAAUCGGAAUUACUGGGCGUAAAGCGUGCGCAGGCGGUUUGUUAAGACAGAUGUGAAAUCCCCGGGCUCAACCUGGGAACUGCAUUUGUGACUGGCAAGCUAGAGUGUGGCAGAGGGGGGUGGAAUUCCGCGUGUAGCAGUGAAAUGCGUAGAUAUGCGGAGGAACACCGAUGGCGAAGGCAGCCUCCUGGGCCAACACUGACGCUCAUGCACGAAAGCGUGGGGAGCAAACAGGAUUAGAUACCCCGGUAGUCCCUGUCUCUUAUAC